rnacentral:rRNA from 1 species
GAUGAACGCUGGCGGCGUGCCUAAUACAUGCAAGUCGAGCGAACGGACGAGAAGCUUGCUUUUCUGAUGUUAGCGGCGGACGGGUGAGUAACACGUGGAUAACCUACCUAUAAGACUGGGAUAACUUCGGGAAACCGGAGCUAAUACCGGAUAAUAUUUUGAACCGCAUGGUUCAAAAGUGAAAGACGGUCUUGCUGUCACUUAUAGAUGGAUCCGCGCUGCAUUAGCUAGUUGGUAAGGUAACGGCUUACCAAGGCAACGAUGCAUAGCCGACCUGAGAGGGUGAUCGGCCACACUGGAACGUAGACACGGUCCAGACUCCUACGGGAGGCAGCAGUAGGGAAUGUGCCGCAAUGGGCGAAAGCCUGACGGAGCAACGCCGCGUGAGUGAUGAAGGUCUUCGGAUCGUAAAACUCUGUUAUUAGGGAAGAACAUAUGUGUAAGUAACUGUGCACAUCUUGACGGUACCUAAUCAGAAAGCCACGGCUAACUACGUG